GAUGAACGCUGGCGGCGUGCCUAAUACAUGCAAGUCGAGCGAACGGACGAGAAGCUUGCUUCUCUGAUGUUAGCGGCGGACGGGUGAGUAACACGUGGAUAACCUACCUAUAAGACUGGGAUAACUUCGGGAAACCGGAGCUAAUACCGGAUAAUAUUUUGAACCGCAUGGUUCAAAAGUGAAAGACGGUCUUGCUGUCACUUAUAGAUGGAUCCGCGCUGCAUUAGCUAGUUGGUAAGGUAACGGCUUACCAAGGCAACGAUGCAUAGCCGACCUGAGAGGGUGAUCGGCCACACUGGAACUGAGACACGGUCCAGACUCCUACGGGAGGCAGCAGUAGGGAAUCUUCCGCAAUGGGCGAAAGCCUGACGGAGCAACGCCGCGUGAGUGAUGAAGGUCUUCGGAUCGUAAAACUCUGUUAUUAGGGAAGAACAUAUGUGUAAGUAACUGUGUACAUCUUGACGGUACCUAAUCAGAAAGCCGCGGCUAACUACGUG
rnacentral:rRNA from 1 species